GACAUUUUCUGUGAUGGAAGUGGAGA
rnacentral:piRNA from 1 species